rnacentral:rRNA from 1 species
UACAGAGGUGGCAAGCGUUGUUCGGAAUUACUGGGCGUAAAGGGCGCGUAGGCGGCCUACUAAGUCAGACGUGAAAUCCCCCGGCUUAACCUGGGAACUGCGUCUGAUACUGGAAGGCUUGAGGAUGGGAGAGGGAUGUAGAAUUCCAGGUGUAGCGGUGAAAUGCGUAGAUAUGCGGAGGAACACCGAUGGCGAAGGCAAUCCCCUGGGCCUGCACUGACGCUCAUGCACGAAAGCGUGGGGAGCAAACAGG